UAUGUUACGGCAUAACUGGGGUUGUAGGACUACAAUAUGGCAUUAAUGAAAUGAAGUGGAACAGGAUGGGAAGCCUGGCAGUAUAGCGUGAGAGCCGCGUACACGUAAGUAACAUUAGUCUAGUAGUAUCCUGAGUACCGCGAGGUCGGAGACGCCUUGUGGGAAUCUGCCGGCACCAUCCGGUAAGGCUAAAUACUCCUGAGAGACCGAUAGUGAACCAGUACCGUGAGGGAAAGGUGAAAAGAACCCCGAACAGGGGAGUGAAAUAGAACCUGAAACUGUGUACUUACAAGCGGUCGGAGCGUCCAGGUGGCGUGACGGCGUGCCUUUUGCAUAAUGAGCCUACGAGUUACUCUUCUCUGGCAAGGUUAAGUGUUUAAGACACGCAGCCGAAGCGAAAGCGAGUCUGAAUAGGGCGUAUAGUCAGGGGAGGUAGACGCGAAACCUUGUGAUCUACCCAUGGACAGGUUGAAGGUGCGGUAACACGUACUGGAGGACCGAACCGAUAAACGUUGAAAAGUUUCCGGAUGAUCUGUGGGUAGGGGUGAAAGGCUAAUCAAACUGGGAAAUAGCUCGUACUCCCCGAAAUGUUUUUAGGAACAGCGUGGUGGUUAAGUUUACUAGAGGUAGAGCUACUGAUUGGGUGCGGGGGAGUCAAAUCCUACCAAAUCCAGACAAACUCCGAAUGCUAUUAAAUAUACACUGCAGUGAGGCCCGGGGUGCUAAGGUCACGGGCCGAGAGGGAAAGAACCCAGACCAUCAGCUAAGGUCCCCAAGUUACUACUAAGUUGAACUAACGAGGUGCGAUUGCCUAGACAGCUAGGAUGUUGGCUUGGAAGCAGCCAUUCAUUUAAAGAGUGCGUAACAGCUCACUAGUCGAGCGAUCGUGCAUGGAUAAUAAACGGGCAUAAAGUAGUACACCGAAGCUAUGGGUAAUAUUAAUAUUACGGUAGGGGAGCAUUCCAGCGGCAGCGAAGUUAUGACGUAAGUUGUGGUGGAGCUUCUGGAAAAGCAAAUGUAGGCAUAAGUAACGAUA
rnacentral:rRNA from 1 species